rnacentral:rRNA from 1 species
GAUGAACGCUGGCGGCGUGCCUAAUACAUGCAAGUCGAGCGAACAGACGAGGAGCUUGCUCCUCUGACGUUAGCGGCGGACGGGUGAGUAACACGUGGAUAACCUACCUAUAAGACUGGGAUAACUUCGGGAAACCGGAGCUAAUACCGGAUAAUAUAUUGAACCGCAUGGUUCAAUAGUGAAAGACGGUUUUGCUGUCACUUAUAGAUGGAUCCGCGCCGCAUUAGCUAGUUGGAAGGUAACGGCUUACCAAGGCAACGAUGCGUAGCCGACCUGAGAGGGUGAUCGGCCACACUGGAACUGAGACACGGUCCAGACUCCUACGGGAGGCAGCAGUAGGGAAUCUUCCGCAAUGGGCGAAAGCCUGACGGAGCAACGCCGCGUGAGUGAUGAAGGUCUUCGGAUUGUAAAACUCUGUUAUUAGGGAAGAACAAAUGUGUAAGUAACUAUGCACGUCUUGACGGUACCUAAUCAGAAAGCCACGGCUAACUACGUG